AGCUUAUCAACUCCUCCAGUCGAAGAAAUAUGUACCCUGACAAUUUCCCCGUAACGUUGAUCUGAGGCAAGUCCAUCCUAGUUUGGCUUAGGCCUAUUUUACUUAACAAAAAUGAUUCAGUCUUAGAGCAUCUUGUUUGCACCUUUGUGUAUUUGGUUGUUUGUUUUUAUAUGGCAAAGAUCAUUUUAGUGGCCAGCCUCCUAUGUUAAAAUAAAUUAUCUAUAUUUGAUCCA
rnacentral:lncRNA from 1 species